GCAGAACGCGAAGAACCUUACCAGCUCUUGACAUGCCUAUGAAUGUUAGUGGAGACACUUUCAGCCUUUCGGGGCGUAGGACACAGGUGCUGCAUGGCUGUCGUCAGCUCGUGUCGUGAGAUGUUGGGUUAAGUCCCGCAACGAGCGCAACCCUCGCCUUUAGUUGCCAUCAUUUAGUUGGGCACUCUAAAGGGACUGCCAGUGAUAAGCUGGAGGAAGGUGGGGAUGACGUCAAGUCCUCAUGGCCCUUACGGGCUGGGCUACACACGUGCUACAAUGGUGGUGACAGUGGGCAGCGAGAUCGCGAGGUCGAGCUAAUCUCCAAAAACCAUCUCAGUUCGGAUUGCACUCUGCAACUCGAGUGCAUGAAGUUGGAAUCGCUAGUAAUCGCGGAUCAGAAUGCCGCGGUGAAUACGUUCCCGGGGUCUUGUACACACCGAGGUCGGUGGGGGAGGGCAA
rnacentral:rRNA from 1 species